CGUGUCCCCAGAAAGCCAGUCAGAAAUGAACACGGCCGUGCCCUGUCCCAGAUACAUAAAAAUAACGUUACUGUACACGACCCACAGCGAGCCAGAUUCUCUGCAUUUUUUUCCAAUUUCCAAAAAUAGUUGGGACUUUCUGCCAGCGAGCCGGGCUUGGAUUCCCAGGAAGAGCACGUCGGCGCGGACACAAGGAGCUGCUGGAGAGCGGCUCUCGGGCCUCUGCCCUCCGCCCGCCCGCCCGCUGACAGCCGAGCAGAGCAUCCUGCAGGGGAGACAGCGGCCAUGGCGUCAGGGAGACGGCUCGUCCGUCCGUGGAAACAUCGGCCGCCUUUCCCGUCCCGGGAUCCAGCCCUUUCCUUACCGGUUUGAGGACUCGCUCAUCCGAAGGUGCAGAACCCUCUGCCACUGUCUAAGCCACAAGGACCAGGUACCGAUCGCCCAGCCUCCCUUGCAGCUAGAAUCUGGGUCCGUGGCGUUGGCUCCUGGUUGAGGGCCACAGGGUGCUGAGACGUUUGGUUCAACAACAUUCAGGAAGACGGUUCCGGAAACGCUUCUUUGGACUCUCUCUUCCCACCUCAGUUGUCCGUCUCCACCCAGCUGCUCACGGAGCAUCGGCCACGGGAAACGUCCGUGCUUCUCCCUGAUGAAUCCGGAGCUUCCACUGGGGACGAAGGCGCUGUUCUCUCGCCACCUCGGCAGCUCACACCUGAGCGCCCACAGGAAGCGUCGGCCGGUCAGACCUCAGCUCUGCCCGGGGGGACGGGGCAGGAACGAUGGUCGCGAUGGUCUCAGCUGGACCGGCCGCCGCGGCGGGUCUCACUUCAGAAUCGAGACUUGACGGGGAUGGAGGCACCGCGGCUGCGCUGUGGCCGGGCCAGUUCCUCUCGAAGGGCUUGGGUUUAAUUUGCCUGCCGCUCGUUACUGACUUACCUUCUGCUGUGAUGGAGGCCGAAGGAGGCAAGCCCAGGGCCCAGCCUCAGAGGCGUCCGGACGCAAAUGGACGGGUACCCGUCUCUGGCAAUCGGUCCCAGGCGAGCGCAGGCCAGCUGGCCGGCCCCUCGCCGCUCUCUGCAGACUGCGAGUCUGUGGGAACGCGGGCUGAUCGCGAGGCUGAGCUUGUCUGGUCUCAUGCUUAUUAGCUGCUGUAUCGCUUUCCACACGACAACUGUAACCCACUGUCGCCCCGUCCUGCGCACAGAAGAAUAAGGCUUAGGCAAUGCUUCAGAGGUUACCAAACUGGUUGGAAAAACAAAGUGAGGAUUUUGAAAUCCUAAUUUACAAAUGACUUAUCUUCUUAUUAACCAUUAGAAGUCACUCAUAAAAGUCGUACGUGUGUUGUAAUCAUUAGCAUCUCCUGGAGGAGACACAAUACAACAGAAGAGAUGUGGUCAGUUUCACAGAUGACGGAGCAAAGGGGACCCGGAAUCGGGGAACCAGGAGGUGCCCGUGUCAUGUGUAAGUGGGACGUGUAACCCCCGCGGAUAUGAGGUAUCUAUUUGUAUAUAAGUGGGACGUGUAACCCCCGUGGAUACGAUGUAUCUAUUUGUAUAUAAGUGGGAUGUGUAACCCCAUGGAUACAAUGUAUCUAUUUGUAUAUAAGUGGGAUGUGUAACCCCAUGGAUACGAUGUAUCUAUUUGUAUAUAAGUGGGAUGUGUAACCCCCGUGGAUACGAUGUAUCCAUUUGUAUAUAAGUGGGAUCUGUAGCCCCAUGGGCCCUGGGCGUGUCUCCUUCGGCCUCCGUCCUUCCUCAGCCACGGCUACUCCUGUGGUUCGCUGCUUCCUGUUGCCCUGUCCGGCCCCACGGACCUGACGACAGCCCGGCCCUCGGUGCUUUGGUUCGGAAGCAGCACCAGGGCCGCCUCAGCCCCGACUGGACGGCGAGGAGAUGGAGGGCGAUGUGCGGAGCCCAGCGGCCACCCGCUCCCCCAGAAGAAACGCCCCCAUUGUCUCCGGCACAGAAUUCCCCAUAACCAGGAGGCAUGAUUAUUACCUGGAAUCACAGACGGUGGCACUGAGGCACCGAUGGUCACCCAACCCGUCCGGGGCCUCAACACGACGCAGGAGGGACUCACAUGCGGCCGACGCCAGCUGAGCUGGAUUGCAGGUCCUGGCAAUUGUCAUCACACGGAUCAGGAACGUGGAGGCUGCGGGAGAGGAAGGCACAGGCCACGUGACCAGCGUCGCGCCCGCCCCCGGAGCUCAGCCCCCAUGACAGGCCUGCCCCGCGCGAAGACGUCCACUCUGUGCAGCAGCAGAACUGGAUUCGGGCCCUGCCGGGCGUCACAGCCCCGCCUGACCCUGUGGCCAGUGGAAUCCCGGUUGGCGACGGCAUGGCCGCAGGCCAGGAGGGCUCGCCCGGAGCAGCAGUCACGGGUCACACACAAGUCCAUCUGGGAGGGAAGAAGGGACGCCUGUGGGUCUCAGAUCAGCGUGAUCUCUGCUCCUCCCCGGGGGCCCCGGUCCGAGUGCUGGGACCCGGUGUGGACGGGACCCUGGCGUGGGCGGCACAGGCCGGGAACGGCCUUGGUGCUGCGUGCCACAGCCUCCCCAUCCACUUCCUCAGCCGCCCGGUCCGUCCUGCCCCCCUCCCCGCCCCCCAGCCGCCCACCUGUGCCGGCCUCCAUGAACAGCACCUGGCAGGGGUGUCUGUGUGCCCAGACAGCUCAGCAUUUUUAUUUAUUUUAAAACAUAUUUUUAUUGAUUUCAGAGAGGUAGGGAGAGGGAGAGAGAAACAUCCAUGAUGAGAGAGAAU